GGAAAAGUCUAUAGGAACUGCUAACUCCUAUUACCCGUGUAUAAUAGCACGGCUUUUUCG
rnacentral:tRNA from 1 species